rnacentral:rRNA from 1 species
AGCGAACGCUGGCGGCAGGCUUAACACAUGCAAGUCGAGCGGUCCCUUCGGGGUCUGCGGCUGUCGGGUGAGUAACGCGUGGGAACGUUCCCGUCGGUUCCGUAUAACUCAGGGAAACUUGAGUUAAUACCGGAUACGCUCUUAUGGCGUAUGGUUUACUGUUGAAGGAUCGGCCCUCGUCUGUUUCGCUUGUUGGUGAGGUUAUGGCUCACCAAGGCGACGAUCAGUAGCUGGUCUGGGAGGAUGAGCAGCCACACUGUGGCUGUGACACGGCCCAGACUCCUAGGGAAGGCAGCAGUGGGGAAUAUUGGACAAUGGGGGCAACCCUGAUCCAGCCAGGCCGCGAAAGUGAUGACGGCGUUAGGGUUGAAAAGCUCAUUUCACCGGGACGAUAAUGACGGUACCGGAGGAAUAAGCCACGGCUAACUUCGUG